rnacentral:ncRNA from 1 species
ACUGCAUGACUGGCGGAAGUAGAUUAACUACAAGGGAGUGCAGUGUUUUAAAGCCGACCGCCUGGGCAAU